UACAGAGGUGGCAAGCGUUGUUCGGAAUUACUGGGCGUAAAGGGCGCGUAGGUGGCCUUUUGAGUCAGACGUGAAAUCCCUCGGCUUAACCUGGGAACUGCGUCUGAUACUGGAAGGCUUGAGUUCGGGAGAGGGAUGUGGAAUUCCAGGUGUAGCGGUGAAAUGCGUAGAUAUCUGGAGGAACACCGGUGGCGAAGGCGGCAUCCUGGACCGAAACUGACACUGAGGCGCGAAAGCCAGGGGAGCAAACGGG
rnacentral:rRNA from 1 species